rnacentral:rRNA from 1 species
GAUGAACGCUGGCGGCGUGCCUAAUACAUGCAAGUCGAGCGAACAGAUAAGGAGCUUGCUCCUUUGACGUUAGCGGCGGACGGGUGAGUAACACGUGGGUAACCUACCUAUAAGACUGGGAUAACUUCGGGAAACCGGAGCUAAUACCGGAUAAUAUUUCGAACCGCAUGGUUCGAUAGUGAAAGAUGGUUUUGCUAUCACUUAUAGAUGGACCCGCGCCGUAUUAGCUAGUUGGUAAGGUAACGGCUUACCAAGGCGACGAUACGUAGCCGACCUGAGAGGGUGAUAGGCCACACUGGAGCUGAGACACGGUCCAGACUCCUACGGGAGGCAGCAGUAGGGAAUCUUCCGCAAUGGGCGAAAGCCUGACGGAGCAACGCCGCGUGAGUGAUGAAGGUCUUCGGAUCGUAAAACUCUGUUAUUAGGGAAGAACAUACGUGUAAGUAACUGUGCACGUCUUGACGGUACCUAAUCAGAAAGCCACGGCUAACUACGUG